rnacentral:rRNA from 1 species
CCUACGGGAGGCAGCAGUGAGGAAUAUUUGUCAAUGGGCGAGAGCCUGAACCAGCCAAGUCGCGUGAGGGAGUACUUCCCUAUGGGUUUUACCCCUCUUUUGUCGGGGAACAAAAUCCGGACAUGUCCUUCUGUGAGAGUACCAUAAGCCAAAGCAUCAGCGACCUCCGUACCAGCAGCCGCGGUCAUACGGAGGAUUCGAUCGUUAUCCGGAUUUAUUGGGUUUAAAGGGUGCGCCGGCGGAUUUUUAAGUCAGCGGUAAAAUCGUGGGGCUCAACCGCAUCCAGCCGUUGCAACUGGGGAUCGAGAGUGUGCGAGAGGUAUGCGGAAUGCGUGGUGUAGCGGUGAAAUGCAUAGAUAGCACGCAGAACCCCGAUUGCGAAGGCAGCAGACCGGUGAACAACUGACGCUCAGGCACGAAAGCGUGGGUAGCGAACAGGAUUAGAUACCCCUGUAGUC